GUCAUUUCCAUGGAAGGCGUCUUCUAUGUACAUAGUCCACCCUGACUCACAACUGUUGUAUUCCUCCUCCUCCUCAGAGACUCCAUGGUUCCUUGGAGACUCCAUGGCUUUGAGCAACGCAAAGAAGAACACAAAAGCAAGGAAAAGCAGGAGCCUAUAAGAAGCCUCAUAUAAUUGAAGAGAAGGAGUAAGUUUCACCACAUGGCAACCCUUAGCACCAUUGUUUUCACUCCCUUGAAGCACUACCAGACAAAGCCAACUGCAGAUAUAUAUAUUUCAAGGAAGUUAAAAAAAAAACAAUUCUGAAAGGGGGUGGUACUACAGUGGGCCUCGUGAACUUGGAGAGAUGUGUGUGUGAAGAUUUAUUCGAGUUUGUACACAUCGUUAAUGUCUGGAGACAAUGGAGUUGGACUCAUUGGAUUUUUUUUCUUUUCAUGUGAGACUGUGUAAUGUCAUUGUACGUCAUUUAUUAUUGUCACUGAUUCAUUUAUUUGUAGGUUUAAAUAUGGAAAAGUCACAGAUAUUGAAAGCAUCAUCAUCAGAGAUUCACUGGCUUGAAGUAAUUGAUAACUUUGGUUGGCAAGUCAGUGAGAAAAGGGACGGGACUUUGUGUUGUUUGCCUCAUCUAUUGUUUUCCUAUACUUUGGUUGUUUGUUUACUAUACCUUUGAUAUAUAUCCAUGCACUUAUGGUUUUGGAUAGUUACAUAUAGCAUAACCACACCGAUUGGUCAACUCCACUAGAUUUCUUUGUCCAACUUGUUCCUAACCAUUUAUAUAUGGUUUUUAGAAGUGUAAUACUUGAUUAAGAAGGUAGAACUUAAACUUUCUCGUGAUUGUUUUUAUGAAUCUUUAACAUAUUAUUUAUCGUCAGCCACAUCAUUAA